UAUAAAGUUGAAAAGUAAGCUCGGAAUACAAUUAAAAAGGGAACACUUGCUCAGCACCAUUAAAGACCCUGAAGAAAAUUGUAGCAUCACAGAUUGCGAAAUAUUGAGGAAUAGUGUAUGAGAAAUUCAAUUAAACUACUGUGUGAUCAGUGAUGAUUGAUGAAGGCCCCAACCAAUUCUAAUUAAUGCUAAUCUUUGUUUGCGCCUAUAAAUAAAAUUAGCAGAGUAAGGUGAGUAACACUGAACAAAGAACAACAUUUGAAAAAUAUAAGAAAUAAAAAAAAUGGGGAAAGUAUCUAAACGAUUAGUGUUCUUGGGUUUUGAUGCUUGUAGUGCUCAUUAUUGGAGUUGCGGAAUGUAGGAGACUUGAGAAGGAGACUUUGGGAGGCGGUGGUUUUGGAGGAGGUGGCGGAUUUGGUGGUGGAAAGGCGGUGGUGGUUGUGUUGGAGGAAGAGCUGGUGGCGGUGCCUGGUGAAGUGUUUGGUGGUGGUGCAGGCGGAGGUCAUGGCGAUGGUGUUGGUGGAGGAUCUGGUGGUGGAGCUGGUGGA
rnacentral:lncRNA from 1 species